UAUGCACUACAAAUGUGUGAAUAACAAAAUAAUACUUUUUUUUUUUUUUUAAGAACGAUUCUAACACGGUUUUGCACUGCCCAGGGAACUUUCAGUCCAAAAUGGACAGUAUGGAUCAGGAAGGAUUUUGACUAUCUACAAUGCAAAUAAUACAAAUGCUUCUAACAUCCAGUGGCAUUAUUAUAGUCUUCUUGGCAUAAAUACCCUCUGUACACAAUGGCAAAAAUGAGCAGGGAUGCAUCCCUCAGACAGAGCCCUGUGGCUAAGGAACACAAAAUCGCAUACCCAUUAUAGCAGAGUCCCCAACUCUUUGCCUCCAUGGACUGGUGACACGGAAGUCAUGUUUUCCACAGACCCGGUGGAGGGCUGGUCCUUCAAAUGCACAGUUCAGGGUCGAGUUUGAACUCCUACAGCUUGGCUGUUGGGGGUCUGUGGACUAGAGCAACUCUCAGGUUUUCUUCUAGUUUGAUCCAAUCAGCCAGCUCAGCUCUCGGGAGACCACCUUUCUUGACAUCCAAAUUGUAUUAGAAGAUUGUUUGAUGACUCAAUUACUUCUUAGUAGAAUUAUGUCAGUGGUACAAAAUAACAAAUCAUCUGGCCAGCCAUGUGUAUAUUUUGGGGUGGGAUUCAGGGCUUUAAGCCCAUUGAAUUCUAGUAAGGCAAAACUGUGAUGUCGACAUUCCUGCAGGGGGCUGAAGCUCCUUUUCUCCCAGAGAAUUCCUGGUUGCUUGCAGCUGAGACCUACAAGAAGAGCAAGAACUUGUGGGGGCCUUGCAGUAGAAAAAGAAUUUCCAGAGUGUUUAAAUCUGGAUCAUGAAAGGAAUUCUCAUUGGGUAGGCUGGAAUAAAAAACUUUCUUUCUGAUUAAACAGAUGACAUAACAAUGCUCUCAAGGACAGCUUCCCCGAGGAAGUCAUUCUUUUGCCAUAUGUACGUUUUUCAAUUCGAGAGCAUAAUUGUGAAGCUAUGUACAGACCAUUUGUACUGAUGAAACUAUAUGGUGAUUCGCUGAAUGAAUGAGGUAGGGUGAUGCUUUAGCAAUCUACCGUGUGUAAGAGGCCAGUUCUUAUCUCAACUCCUUUCAAAUCAAGCACGUGAGUAGGUGUGUUUGGAUCCUUGAUAGCUUCUCGCUUUCAUUUACGACUUCUCAGUCUUUGGAAAAGGUUUAGUGAAGAGAAGUGAAAUGUAGUAUAGCAUGCCAAAUAGAAUGGACGUAAAGAUACAUUUCUCAUCAUUAUCCAUUCUGAUUUCUCCUUGAAUUUUACGUACAAAUAGAACACAGAAUCUGGAUUUGGGAAUUAGAGCCAUGGACUAUACACACAUAAAAUAUCUAUUCAAAAAUUCAUACUCGAUUUCCCUUUUGCUGUUCUUUGUGGCAGUGGGAUAGAUGUUUGAAGUUCAAGCAGCAUAUAAAGAAAAUGAAGUUCCUGUCUUGCACGUCCACCUACUUAAAAUCCUUACCUGACAUCACACACAGAUCACUACCUCACACCACAUGCAAACUUAACUCAAAAGAAAGCUUAGAUCCAUAGAUAAGCACUAAAUUAUAAAGCUCUUAGAAGAAAACUAUACUUCUUCAUGGCAUUGGCAUGCAUAUUUGUUAAGCUGUCAUUAUUGGUCAUUAUGACCUUAAACUUAGUGGACUACAACGUUAUUUUAUGGAAGAGAGACUGACAAGUGACAAGUUAAUAGGGCCGGGGAUUUAGCUGAGUGGUGCUGCCAACUGCCUGGCAAGCGGAAGUUCCUGAGGUUGAUCCAGGUAUGAAAAAAAAAAAAUUAAUAAAGAGCAAGAAUUGAGUUUUAAGUUUUGAAUGUGGAACUGAACCAGUGAAGCAAGAUGAAGUGAUUGAGAGACAGAUUGUGAAAUAUCUUAGGACCUAUGCCAAGAUAAGUUUACAGUAUUUACAUGUUGUAUUUUCAGAGCGCACAUUUCAAGGCACCUAAUAAAUGUGUGAAACCACAGGUAGUUCCAGAGCCUAUCUACAAACAUUACAGAUACUGCACCAGUCUUUCUGAUAUCCUAGAUGGAUCCCAAGUCACUAACAGGGUACGUCUUUAGGGCUGGACUGGAGCUGAUGGGAUUUGGGAAGAUGACUGGAUCAUGAAGAUUCUCACUUCAUCAAUGGCUUCAUCUGUUGGUGAAUGGACCAUCUGAUGGCAUUAUGAGAAGCGGAUGAAAACUUCAAAGGUGGAUGCUCAGUGAAGAGAGUGGAUCGCAAACCUGGAGACUACAUCUGGUCUUACCCCCCACACACUGCCAUGAGGUUGCCUCUCAAACACAUGGAAAGACUGCGCUGGAUUCAUUUAAAUCUAUAUCUGCUCACGUUGUCAUGGAAACCAUUCCAUCUGCCUUUGUUUAAGGUCAAGACUGAGGUUAUUGCCUAAAGAGACUGCUCAGACUGCCUUGAAGAGAAAGGAAAGAAGAGAGGCAUGGGAGGACUUGAAAUAUUUGGUAAGUGUCUCCCUGGAGUGGUACUUGCAGACGAUGGAUGUUGAAUGACUACAGAAGAACAUAAGAAAAUCAGCAAAUUUACA